GUUGGUGUCAGACCAGAGACGGCACACCUGGCCCUCUGCCUUGGAGCAGCGGCACCGGUCCUGCCUAGCUGCUCACACCCCCCUCCCUAGGCCGAAACAUGAGCAGAGCGGGCUGCUGGCUUCACCACCAGCAUGCCCAGGGGUCCGCGAAGCCUUCUAGGGCUCGGGCCUGGCCUCUGAAGUCAGGACGCUAAAAAGGAAGAGAAAGAAGCUGAGUGUGGAGACAGCGGCUCUGGGUGCUUCUGGGUUCCCCAAGAAGCAAAGUCCUAUUUCCUAGGCUGGCCUAGGGGCCAGGAGUGAGAGCAGAGCCAAGCACCUGAGACUCAGAACCUCCCUGCUCCACUGAAUGCAGAACUCUGUUUUGUGCAUCUAUUUGACCACCAGGUAAAAUUUACUUCCAAAAAGAAGAGUGCUAAAAAUAAAAGUUUGGAAGUCUUUGACAUAGACUGAUACACAGGUGGUUCUCCAACAUAACAAAACUUGCUACAACCAUUCUUCUUCUGUAGGUGGGGGGAGGGGCUGAGAAUACCUGUCCUCCAGAACCUUGCAGGGUCUCUGGAAAGAUCAAAUGAGGUAAUAGCCAUCUUCAGCUAAAAAGGCCCUUAGGAAACAAAUUUAUUAUUUCCUUCCUUUAUUAAUGGAGCGUAUAUCCGGUUCAAAUAAUUAGUCACGCAAGCAAGGCUGUGUUUCUUCUAGAAGGAAAAGGAGAAGCAGCAGCAGUAGAAGGAGAAGGACAAGGUGGGAAAGGAGGAGGAGCUGACGGGGAGUUAAAAGAAGAAAAACAACAGCAGCAACAACAGCUCAGAUACAAUUUUUAAAGGGAGAAUUAUACUAUGUUCAAAGUGCCUGCCACUUCAAGGAAAUGAGGGAGGGGGUGAGGAGGGAAGCAAGUGUGGAGAGAAAGGGCACUUGCAUUGAAUGUGCCCAGUACUGUGCCGUGUGUGAGAUGCUUCCUGUAUUUCGUUUAAUCCAAACAAAAUAUGAUGCAAGUGUUGUUAUCCCCAUUUUACAGAUCAGAAAACUAAGGUUCAGAGAGCAUAAAAACCAACUUAACCAAGUCCUCGCAGAGCAGAACGACUACUCAGGCAGAAGCCUCCAGCCGGUGCCGUCAGUGCUCCCAGUUUAUGCUGUGCACUGCUGCCAGAAGCAUCGAACCACCUACCUGCCCUGCACUGUCGCCAGAUCCCACACUGCCUUCGUCAAAUCAAAUCUACACAGCCCUGCACUCCAGACUGCCUGCAUCUGGCCCCUGGGGCUUCCCGGCCUCAUGCCCCGCUCCCCCACUCCCCUUUUCCUCGGUUUAGCAAAAGGAUUGCUCACUGCGCAACAGCCCCCCCCCAACACCAUGCUCCUUUCCUUCCUGCCCCACCUGAG
rnacentral:lncRNA from 1 species